UGCCCCGGAAGACUCUGGGAACUGCAGUUCCUGCGCCAACUACGGGUUUGCCGUUUCUGUCCCCAGCUGGGGCUACUCCUGAUGCUCUCAGGAACCAGAUUAUCGCAGUUUCAUAACAUCAUCACGUUACUGGUGAGAGACAGCUGACAGCUGCCUGUGGAAGAAACGAAAGUCAGACUUGUGUUUCAUAGCUUCCUCUGCAUGUGACUGUGUUCAUUACAUGAUCGUCAGACCCCGGACAAGGAGUACAAACUGUAUGGGAUGGUGCAUCACAUAGGCAGUCUGAGAGGAGGACAUUACACAGCCACCAUCCUGUGCAGUGAGGACAAAACCUGGUAUGAGUUUGAUGACGCUCACGUCAGCAAGUGGGUAAGAGUCCAGGUUCUAUUAAUUCAGAAAGUCUGACAGAUGUUGAAGCUGAACAACCAGAGGAGACCAGCAACGUAAUCAAACUCAUGCCGCAUGAGAAGGAAUACACGAGAAAAAUGGGAAAAAGGGACACUGAUGAGAAGGAGAAGAGACAGAGGGGACACAAUCAUAUUGGUGCUCAGCCACACAGAUGUCAUUAUGGUCUGUACAAUCAGGGCGCCACAUGUUACCUCAACAGUGUCCUGCAACUUCUCGCCAUGACAACAGAGAUCCAUGACAGGUUUGA